rnacentral:rRNA from 1 species
AUUGAACGCUGGCGGCAGGCCUAACACAUGCAAGUCGAACGAGUGGCGGACGGGUGAGUAAUGUCUGGGAAACUGCCUGAUGGAGGGGGAUAACUACUGGAAACGGUAGCUAAUACCGCAUACCAUCGGAUGUGCCCAGAUGGGAUUAGCUAGUAGGUGGGGUAAAGGCUCACCUAGGCGACGAUCCCUAGCUGGUCUGAGAGGAUGACCAGCCAACCGGGAAAUGGGAAACGGUCCAGACUCCUACGGGAGGGAGGAGUGGGGAAUAAUGCACAAUGGGGGCAAGGCUGAUGGAGGCAUGCCGCGGGUAUUAAGAAGGCCUUCGGGUUGUAAAGUACUUUCAGCGGGGAGGCGUUACCCGCAGAAGAAGCACCGGCUAACUCCGUGCCAGGCGGCGGGGUAAUAC